rnacentral:lncRNA from 1 species
UUAUGCUGAGACGAUGCUCUGCGUGGUGCUGAGGAUCCAACCCACAGCUUUGUGCAUGCUAGGCAAGCACUUGAGCAUCUCAGCUGCACAGCCAGCCCAUGAAGCCCUUGUUUUCAGAAGAGGGGAAGUGUUAAUGCUGAGAAACAAGCUACACAGAUGUCAUUGAUGUUGUGCAAGCCCUGCAGACUCACUCAGACCCAACUAUCAGGUCCUACUUCACCGUUGGUGCCGUCACGAUAUAAGCGGGAAAUUCCAGAAAGUAAUUUACUGUAGUGAUUUACCAAUAUUCUAUUGAAAACCUAAGGAGUGGCACAUGGCACAGAGAGCACCGUAAAAGAAUUACAGGAACCACGACCACAGACAGCAAGUUACAGCCUGGGCUGCACAGAAGAUUCAGCACUCCAAUUUAGGGAGAACCUGACUCAAAAUAAAAAGCAAGAUUUAAAUAAAAGGUACUGGCCA